rnacentral:misc_RNA from 1 species
UAAUAACCGUAUUUAUAUGUGGGGUUUUGUGUACGUAUUUUUUACGUACGUCUUGGUUGAUUGCUUGAUCUUUUUGCUGUUUGAUUUCUGACAAAUGGGCGGUAAAGGAAGGGAAAGUGAAAGCUUGGAUUUUCUGGGCUUCCUGAAAAUUAUGAGUUUAAGUCAGCUAGUUAUGAUCUAAAUGUAGUCGGAUUUUUGUCAUUCAAUGAUUGCUGCGUUUUAUCAGCCACCAAACUAGAUAAAGGAGAGAUUCUGUUUUGGGAUCCAUUUACACCUGUUGCUUUCUCUGUCUUUGCUUUUUUCGUGCUCUUUUAUUUAUUUGUAUUUAUUUUUUGUACUGCUAUGAAAUUCGUACCUGGGUUUUUAAUUUGUUGAUCUUUAAUAUAUGUCUGGCUUGUUAAGUUGCUGUGUUAUUUUGGGGGUGCAGUUAAAUUUAAUCCACAAUUUUUGAAGUCAAGACCACAUCUAAUUCUGAUCAUCAGUGAUUAGUGGAAUAUGGAUUGACUUGAUGUUUUUCCUCUGUUUGUUUCAUUUACCUGACUAAUUGAGUUCUGAUUCUAAAUUUAAACUAUGGCUUAAAUUUGUUAUUGUUUCUGGUUUUGCUGUAGACUUAUUCCAAUCCGCUACAAGA